rnacentral:tRNA from 1 species
GUGGGUGGGUAGUUGUCUUGGCCAGGACUUCUAAUCCAUGGUUAGAGAGGGUGACGACCUUUCACCCACU